rnacentral:rRNA from 1 species
UCAGAUUGAACGCUGGCGGCAGGCCUAACACAUGCAAGUCGAGCGCGAAAACACUUCGGUGUGAGUAAAGCGGCGGACGGGUGAGUAACGCGUAGGAAUCUACCUAGUAGUGGGGGACAACUCGGGGAAACUCGAGCUAAUACCGCAUACGCCCUACGGGGGAAAGCGGGGGACCUUCGGGCCUCGUGCUAUUAGAUGAGCCUGCGUUGGAUUAGCUAGUUGGUGGGGUAAAGGCCUACCAAGGCGACGAUCCAUAGCUGGUCUGAGAGGAUGAUCAGCCACACCGGGACUGAGACACGGCCCGGACUCCUACGGGAGGCAGCAGUGGGGAAUAUUGCGCAAUGGGCGAAAGCCUGACGCAGCCAUGCCGCGUGUGUGAAGAAGGCCUUCGGGUUGUAAAGCACUUUCAAUUGGGAGGAAAGGUUCACGACUAAUACUCGUGAGCUGUGACGU